rnacentral:snRNA from 1 species
UCUCAUAGCGAGCUAACCCUUCGCCUUUUACUAAAGGUUACCGUGCGAACGGGCCACCACGAGCCUAUAGGCCAAUUUUUGGAUGGCCUCGUUCGUUUGAACGGGG